ACACUCCUGCGGGAGGCAGCAGUGGGGAAUUUUGGACAAUGGGCGAAAGCCUGAUCCAGCAAUGCCGCGUGAGUGAAGAAGGCCUUCGGGUUGUAAAGCUCUUUUGUCAGGGAAGAAACGGUGAGAGCUAAUAUCUCUUGCUAAUGACGGUACCUGAAGAAUAAGCACCGGCUAACUACGUGCCAGCAGCCGCGGUAAUACGUAGGGUGCAAGCGUUAAUCGGAAUUACUGGGCGUAAAGCGUGCGCAGGCGGUUUUGUAAGUCUGAUGUGAAAUCCCCGGGCUCAACCUGGGAAUUGCAUUGGAGACUGCAAGGCUAGAAUCUGGCAGAGGGGGGUAGAAUUCCACGUGUAGCAGUGAAAUGCGUAGAUAUGUGGAGGAACACCGAUGGCGAAGGCAGCCCCCUGGGUCAAGAUUGACGCUCAUGCACGAAAGCGUGGGGAGCAAACAGGAUUAGAUACCCGAGUAGUCCCA
rnacentral:rRNA from 1 species